GAUUCUUUAGUAUAUUUUGGUAUAAUUGAUUGUUGAUCAGUAGGUUUUAGGUUUCU
rnacentral:tRNA from 1 species